AUUUUGGUCAGCAAAAAUAUAAAGAAAUUAGCUUUAUGAUCAUAAAAAAAUUAUGCCAUUUGUGUCGGUCUAUAGGCAUGUCAUUAUGUUUCUUUUUCUGUAUAUGAAGCAAUAUUGGACACCUUGUGAAUGUUUUCACAACAUGAUGCUAGCAAGGCAAGUCAAGUCACCUUUAUUUAUACAGCGCUUUAUACAGUACUGAUUGAGUCAAAGCAGCUGUACAGUUGUCAAACAGGAAAAUAGUUUGUCAAUAAUGCAAGAGUACAAAACAAAGAGUCAUUUUUCCAGCUAAUGUCAGUUCAUUGAUGAUUCAGUGAUGCCGUAAGAUGUUGUAAAGAGAUAAUGAAGGCUUUGCAUGAAACAAAAUUCUGUAACAAAACUCGCAUGGUUAUGUGGUUUUGUCUGGGCUCAAGUGUAAAACAUAAAGCUUUUAUAUAAGUACUGAAAACAACCUGUGACGUCACACUACACUCUAACAAAAGAUGGUUCUUUAAACGUUCUUUACAUGUAGUAACGGUUCUAUUUAGAACCAUAGCAUCCUGAAGAACCCUUUUAUGCUGAAAUGGUACUUUGUGUUAGAGUUUAGGGCUCUUUAUUCCCACCCUUUUUGUUUUUUUAAAAUCUGUAACUGUCAAAGCUUCUCAUUAUUGAUUUUCUGGAGCUCAGACAUUGAACUACAGACUGUCAACACACUUUCAACAGUGUGAGCAGCUCUGUUCAGCUGAGGAUACUUCUCACCUCCUCUCCACUAAAUGCAUCACAUCCAACUCAUCCUCUGCAGAGAGAAAUUGCCACUCAGUCACACCAGAAUGAUGGAGUUAAAGUCAUCAUAGAGGAUUGUGAAGAUAUUUCACUGGAACUUUGUCUUCAUCAAAUAUAUAUAUUUUUUUUUAUUUUGUGUUUUACUUUUUUAUGUAUGUAUUCAUGUUCAAUGUCAACUGUCAACUGUUGUUAAGAGCACUGACAUUUUUGCUACAAUUCCACGUCAAUAAAAAAGUACCUAAUUCACACAAUAUGUUGUUGCUGCUGCUGUUGUUGAUGUUGUUGUUAUUUUAAUGUAAUAAUAUAUUAAAAUAAUAUUAAUAAAACUAAUAUUAAUGAUAUAAAUAUACUAAUAUACUGAUAUUAAUGAAAAUAAACUAUCAUUAAAAAGGUUAUUUAUAACACCAUUAAGGUUGUAUAUAUAGCACUUUCAAAGCAUGGUUCUUUGUGGAACCCUAUAAAAGGGUUCUAUUUAGCACCAAAAAUUGUUCUGCUAUUGUUACAAGCUGAAGAACCCUUUUCUGGUACUGUUUAGAACCAUUUUUCUCAUUAGUGUAUUUUACUGCAUGCUUCACGAAAUGUUCUUGUACACUUGAAUUUCCUCAAUGACUUGAAAAAGCUGAAAAAAGAAAAUAGUAGGCUAUAACCACAUGGCCAUUAAAUAUUUCAGAUGUAGGUUCUUGCAGUAGAUAAUCACCAAUGACUCUGGAAGAAGGGCCUUUUUUUGGAGUGAAAAUUUGCAAUUUCUGAGUGAAAAAAAUUCUGCCCCAUUUUUUUUUCUCAGUGUAAAAUGUAAUUUGUAGAAGACAAAUAUGGAAAUAUUAUUUAAAAGUUUAAGACAUUUCAAAACUCUCCAGCCUCCCCUAUAGUGUAUUGUGUUUGCUUUUCAGCACUCUUCCUCUGUUUAAAAAAGAAAGAAAAGAAAAAAAAAAUCAACAUCUACUGAAGCAGGGAUGGGCGGUAUUAAUGCCUUAACCCUGAGGCAGAGACUCUUGUUUUCACAUUACAUGAGUGCAUCAGAAUGACAACAUUGCUUAUCAGUAACUCGUGCAACGUUAUAGACAUUUAAUAGCAACCUGAUUUAAGCAGCCAACCAACGUGUCAGCAAU
rnacentral:lncRNA from 12 species